GUACUGCCGACGGGUCCCAAACUAGGACGAAACAGUUUUCCAGUAC
rnacentral:hammerhead_ribozyme from 1 species